AAUAUAAAAAAAAAUAAUUAAAGCAUUAAGUGGAUGCCUUGGCAUUAAUUUUAAUUUUAGGACGUAAAAAAUGCGAAAAGCUAUAUUUAAUUAUAUUUUAUUUUGAAAUAUAGAUUUCCUAAAGAAAACUUUUUUUUUGUAAAAAUUUAAAAAACAGUGAAUUGAAAUAUCUAAGUAACUGUGUAAAAAAUCAAACGAGAUUCUGUGAGUAAUGACGAAUGAAAAUGGAAAUUAGGUUUAUAAAUUUAAAAAAUUAUUUAAAAAAUUUUAAAAAAUUUACUUAAUAAGGUAAAAGUCCUGUAGAAUAAUUUUAAUUUAUAUUAUAGUAAAAAGAGGUAUGUGUAAUCUUUUUUGAAAAUUGGGGGACCACCCUCAAAACCUAUAAAGAAUUAAUGAUCGAUAGCGAACAAGUACUGUAAAGGAAAGGUGAAAAAGAACUUUUGAGUUUGAAAUAAUUCUGAAACUUUAUGUUAAUAAUCAAUUGAAAUUUUUAGAAAAAAUAACAGUGUACCUUUUGCAUAAUGGGCUAGCAAGUUUAUUUUUAUAGCAAGCUUAAUUUAAUAAAGUAGGCGUAGAUAAUUCAAGUUUUAAAAAGCUAAAAUAGUUAUAAAAAUAAGACCCGAAACCGAGUGAUCUAACCAUGAACAGAUUGAAAAAUAGGUAAAACUAUUUGGAGGAUCGAACUCACAUAUGUGGCAAAAUAUGGAGAUGAUUUGUGGUUAGGAGUGAAAGGCUAAUCAAACUCGGAGAUAGCUGGUUUUCCGCGAAAUCUAUUGAAGUAGAGCAUUUAAAAUCUUUUUUUGGGGUAGAGCACUCAUUGAGCUAGGGGGCGUAAAAACUUACUGAAUUCUUAGAAACUCCGAAUACAAAAAAAUGAAAUUUAAAUAGACAGACAUUAGGCGCUAAGGUCUAUUGUCAAGAGGGAAACAGCCCAGAUUGAUCGCUAAGGUCUCUAAAUAAUAUUCUAAGUGAAAAAGGAAGUGAAAAAAUAAUAACAACCAGUAGGUAGGCUUGGAAGCAGCCAUCCUUUAAAGAAAGCGUAAUAGCUCAUUGGUCUAGUUUUUUUGCGCCUAAAAUGUAUCGAGACUUAAGAAAUUUACCGAAGCGGCAAGUUUUAUCUUUAUAAUAAAACGGUAGCGGAACAUUCUGUAUGUUAAUAAAGAUAUAUUGUGAAAUAUGUUGAAAAUAUCAGAAAAGAAAAUGCUAGCAUUAGUAACAAAAAAUAAUGACUAAUAAUCAUUAUCACCGUAAAUCCAAGGGUUUCUAUGUUAAAAUGUUUUUCAUAGAGUGAAACGGCCCCUAAGAAAGAUUUGACGAAAGCAAAUUUUGAUGGGAUAAUUUUUAAAUUAAAUUUUUUAAAAAAAGUGACAAAAAUUUUUAAUUUUUCAGGAAAUAACUUUUUUAAAUAAUAAACCGUACCCGAAACCGACACAGGUGGAUAGGUCGAGUAGACUAAGGUGAAUGAGAGAACUAUAUUGAAGGAACUCGGCAAAAUGACUUUGUAACUUCGGGAUAAAAAGUACCUAAUUAAUUUUUUUUUGAUUAGGUGUCACAAAAUAGGGGGUUGCGACUGUUUAAUAAAAACUUAGGACUCUGCUAAAUGGUAACAUGAUGUAUAGGGUCUGACACCUGCCCGGUGCUGGAAGAUUAAUAGGAGAUGUUUACGCAUUAAAUGGAAGUCCCAGUAAACGGCGGCCGUAACUCUGACGGUCCUAAGGUAGCGAAAUUCCUUGUCGGGUAAGUUCCGACCUGCAUGAAUGGUGUAACGACAUCCCCGCUGUCUCCAAUAUAGACUCAGUGAAUUUGAAUUAUCCGUGAAGAUGCGGAUUUUCUAUAGUUAGACGGAAAGACCCCGUGAACCUUUACUACAUCUUUAUAUUGUUAUUUUAUCUAAUAUGUGUAGCAUAAGUGGGAAUUGUUUAAAUCUUUACGCUAGUAAAUUGUUUAGAUAACCUUGAAAUACCACUCUUAUUAAAAUAAAUAACUAAUAUUAAAAAAAAAUAGACAGUGUAUGGUUGGUAGUUUGACUGGGGCGGUCACCUCCUAAAGAGUAACGGAGGUGUACAAAGGUAAGCUCAAAUUGGAAUAUAGUAUCAAUUGUAGAGCGUAAUGGUAAAAGCUUGCUUGACUGUAAGAUAGACAUAUCAAACAGGGACGAAAGUCGGUCAUAGUGAUCCGAUAAUUCUUUGUGGAAAGAUUAUCGCUCAACGGAUAAAAGGUACUCCGGGGAUAACAGGCUGAUGACUCCUAAGAGCUCCUAUCGACGGAGUCGUUUGGCACCUCGAUGUCGACUCAUCACAUCCUGGAGCUGAAGAAGGUUCCAAGGGUUCGGCUGUUCGCCGAUUAAAGUGGUACGUGAGUUGGGUUUAGAACGUCGUGAGACAGUUUGGUUCCUAUCUUCUAUAGAUAUUUUGAAAAAUGAAAGAAUCUAACUCUAGUACGAGAGGACCGAGAAGGGUAAAUCUCUGGUGUAUCGGUUGUUUAAAAUAUUAUAAUUUUUUUAUAAUUAAUAAGGCAUCGCCGAGUAGCUAAAUUUAUUUUGGAUAAUUACUGAAAGCAUCUAAGUAAGAAACCAUUCUUAAAAAUUUUUCAUAUAAAAACUGUAAAAGAUUAUUACAUAAAUAGGUUUGAAGUGUACGUAUUGUAAGAUAUUUAGCUUAAAAAUACUAAAAGUUUUAAUAAAAAUUUAAAUAU
rnacentral:rRNA from 1 species